rnacentral:rRNA from 1 species
CAGUCGCCGCGGGAAUACAGAGGGUGCGAGCGUUAAUCGGAUUUACUGGGCGUAAAUCGUGCGUAGGCGGCUUUUUAAGUCGGAUGUGAAAUCCCUGAGCUUAACUUAGGAAUUGCAUUCGAUACUGGGAAGCUAGAGUAUGGGAGAGGAUGGUAGAAUUCCAGGUGUAGCGGUGAAAUGCGUAGAGAUCUGGGGGAAUACCGAUGGCGAAGGCAGCCAUCUGGCCUAAUACUGACGCUGAGGUACGAAAGCAUGGGGAGCAAACAGGAUUAGAUACCCGGGUAGUCCCUGUCUCUUAUAC